GAUGAACGCUAGCGAUAGGCUUAACACAUGCAAGUCGAGGGGCAUCGAGGGUAGCAAUACCUGUCGGCGACCGGCGCACGGGUGAGUAACGCGUAUGUAACCUGCCCGCAACAGAGGGAUAACCCGGCGAAAGUCGGACUAAUACCUCAUAAAACAGGGGUUCCGCAUGGGGCUAUUUGUUAAAGAUUUAUUGGUUGCGGAUGGGCAUGCGUACCAUUAGGUAGUUGGUGAGGUAACGGCUCACCAAGCCAUCGAUGGUUAGGGGUUCUGAGAGGAAGGUCCCCCACACUGGUACUGAGACACGGACCAGACUCCUACGGGAGGCAGCAGUGAGGAAUAUUGGUCAAUGGGCGAGAGCCUGAACCAGCCAAGUUCGCGUGAAGGAUGACUGCCCUAUGGGUUGUAAACUUCUUUUACAGGGGAAUAAAAUGAGAUACGUGUAUUUUAUUGCAUGUACCUUGUGAAUAAGCAUCGGCUAACUCCGUGCCAGCAGCCGCGGUAAUACGGAGGAUGCGAGCGUUAUCCGGAUUUAUUGGGUUUAAAGGGUGCGUAGGUGGGCUGUUAAGUCCGCGGUGAAAGUUUGUCGCUUAACGAUAAAAUUGCCGUUGAAACUGGUAGUCUUGAGUAUAGAUGAAGUAGGCGGAAUGCGUGGUGUAGCGGUGAAAUGCAUAGAGAUCACGCAGAACUCCGAUUGCGAAGGCAGCUUACUAAGGUAUAACUGACACUGAAGCACGAAAGCGUGGGUAUCAAACAGGAUUAGAUACCCUGGUAGUCCACGCAGUAAACGAUGAUUACUAGGAGUUUGCGAUAUAGUGUAAGCUCUACAGCGAAAGCGUUAAGUAAUCCACCUGGGGAGUACGCCGGCAACGGUGAAACUCAAAGGAAUUGACGGGGGCCCGCACAAGCGGAGGAACAUGUGGUUUAAUUCGAUGAUACGCGAGGAACCUUACCCGGGAUUGAAAUGUAGACGACGGAGAGU
rnacentral:rRNA from 1 species